AUUGAACGCUGGCGGCAGGCCUAACACAUGCAAGUCGAACGGUAACAGGAAGCAGCUUGCUGCUUUGCUGACGAGUGGCGGACGGGUGAGUAAUGUCUGGGAAACUGCCUGAUGGAGGGGGAUAACUACUGGAAACGGUAGCUAAUACCGCAUAACGUCGCAAGACCAAAGAGGGGGACCUUAGGGCCUCUUGCCAUCGGAUGUGCCCAGAUGGGAUUAGCUAGUAGGUGGGGUAACGGCUCACCUAGGCGACGAUCCCUAGCUGGUCUGAGAGGAUGACCAGCCACACUGGAACUUGGACACGGUCCAGACUCCUACGGGAGGCAGCAGUGGGGAAUAUUGCACAAUGGGCGCAAGCCUGAUGCAGCCAUGCCGCGUGUAUGAAGAAGGCCUUCGGGUUGUAAAGUACUUUCAGCGGGGAGGAAGGGAGUAAAGUUAAUACCUUUGCUCAUUGACGUUACCCGCAGAAGAAGCACCGGCUAACUCCGUG
rnacentral:rRNA from 1 species